rnacentral:rRNA from 1 species
UACGUAGGUGGCAAGCGUUGUCCGGAUUUAUUGGGUUUAAAGGGUGCGUAGGCGGCUUUGUAAGUCAGUGGUGAAAUACGGUAGCUCAACUAUCGAGGUGCCAUUGAUACUGCAGAGCUUGAGUACAGAUGAGGUAGGCGGAAUUGACGGUGUAGCGGUGAAAUGCGUAGAUAUCGGAAGGAACACCAGUGGCGAAAGCGGCUUCCUGGUCCAGCACCGACGUUCAGGCACGAAAGCGUGGGGAGCAAACAGG